AUUGAACGCUGGCGGCAGGCCUAACACAUGCAAGUCGAGCGGAGCGGCGGACGGGUGAGUAAUGCCUAGGAAUCUGCCUGGUAGUGGGGGAUAACGUCCGGCAACGGGCGCUAAUACCGCAUACUAUCAGAUGAGCCUAGGUCGGAGUAGCUAGUUGGUGUGGUAAAGGCCUACCAAGGCGACGAUCCGGGACUGGUGUGAGAGGAUGAUCAGUCACCCGGGAACUGAGACACGGUGCAGACUCCGACGGUAGUCAGCAGUGGGGAAUAUGGGAAAAUGGGCGAAAGCCCGAUCCAGCCAUGCCGCGGCUGUGAAGAAGGUCUUCGGAUUGUAAAGUACUUUAAGUUGGGAGGCGUUACCAACAGAAGAAGCACCGGCUAACUUCGUGCCAGCAGCCGCGGUAAUAC
rnacentral:rRNA from 1 species